GCGGUGCGAGCGGCAGUAGGGUGCCAUCAAGAGGUGUAUUUGGAAAUAUCCCUAAUACAGGAUCACUA
rnacentral:rRNA from 1 species